GCGGGAUUAGUUUAAUGGUAAAACCACAGUUUUCCAAACUGUUGUCGUCAGUUCGAUUCUGACAUUCCGCUCCA
rnacentral:tRNA from 1 species